UACGGGGGGGGCAAGCGUUGUUCGGAAUUACUGGGCGUAAAGGGCGCGCCGGCGGCCCGGCCAGUCCCUUGUGAAAUCCCACGGCUCAACUGUGGAACUGCAGGGGAUACUGCCAGGCUUGAGUCCGGGAGAGGGGAGUGGAAUUCCCAGUGUAGCGGUGAAAUGCGUAGAUAUUGGGAGGAACACCGGUGGCGAAGGCGGCUCCCUGGACCGGUACUGACGCUGAGGCGCGAAAGCUAGGGGAGCAAAUGGG
rnacentral:rRNA from 1 species